rnacentral:lncRNA from 10 species
UAGCUGAGCCAUAAGAUACAGAUAGGGUUUCCAUUUUCAGAGAGGGAGUAAGUAGACAGUAGCAUUGCUGUCAAUCACUGGAGCUCUGCCAAUCAAGAUCUUUGAGGGGGCCCUUCUCUACUUGACCAGACUCAUUUCAUCAUGGAAUGUACGGUGGGGCUCUUUUCUAUGCAAUCAGAGAACUGUAAGUUUAAUUUAUUUUAAUUUUUUAUUGUCAGUAAUUGGCUGUUUAUAUUAUGAUUUUUAUGGAACUAGGUCAUAUAGUAUUUAAUAACAUACUUUAGCAGAUGUAUCUGGGAACAAUUUCAUUUAUAUUCCUGAAUUUUUUCUAAUAACUUAAAUUGCAUGUUGUAUUAAGUGCAUGAAUUUUAUCUAGUAGUUUGCAUAUUCAUUAAUUUAUAUUCAUAGUCAGUAAAAGGUGGUCAGCCAUCAUUGGAACUAACUUAUUUUACUGGAUGGUUACAUGUUUAAUGUCAGUUUACUUCUCUAAACAUUGAUCUUUUUUCUUAAGCUGUUUUUUUAAAAAUAUUGUGGUUUUCUUAUUUUACAAACAUGGAAAUCAAUGGUCUGAAGUGUAGAGUUUAUGUGGAUUUAUGAUACUGAGGGGCUCACAGCUGCCUGUGGGGCAGUUUGAAUUUUAUUUUGCAACAUAAGUAUACAUUUAUUAUCACUUUGUUUAAAUUCUAGUCUUGGUGCUUUUUCAUGAAUUUUCUUAAAAAUAAGUUUCAGGCAAUAGGUGGAGAAAUCAAUCAUCUGGCUGAGUUGUCAUUUUAUGACAGUGAACACUUUGCCACCUCCGCAGUCAGUUGUCAUUGAGUGUAGUUCAGCAUUUUGAUAUACAAAUAAUUGUUGUGUAAUUUUUUAUUAUUCAACUAUAAUUUGAGCCGUUUUUUAUCCAAAAGGUUUAAUUAAAUUAUUUUGUCCUUUUCAAUUUACAAAUAAUAAAACCAAUUGGCCCAGAUGCUGAUCUUUUUAAGCAUCAAAAACUCUUUAAUAAUUUUAACAGAAAUGUUUUGAUGUAAAACACAUUUUCCUGCUUCCUUAAAUAGAAUAUCGUAUACUAAAUGUAGUAAGACCCUUUCAUAUCAAAAUGUCAAUUAUUUUACCAAGCUUUGAUGCUGCAAAGUCUUCAGGAACUACUUAGAUAUACAGGCAUAUUCCUGUGAUGAGUAAGUCCUGUACUACUUUCCAACUGCAUUCUUGGCUUCCAUUUAUCAUUUUUUAAUUAUUGUCAGCAUAUCACUGAUGAUAAUCUACUGCCUUAUCUCACACAUAAUUGUGUAGUUGGUGAUUUCCUUCCUUUUGGUUUGGCAAUAGUCUACAUUUUUUCAAAUGAAAUCUUAAAUGAACUCAAAUAUAUAAAAUGAAUGAGCAUGGAUUUGCACAGUAGAAAUGGAAAAGGGGGUCCGGAGCCUUCCUGCCAAGCGUCCAUACCUGGUCCCCAGUGCAGAACACUAAGCCACCUGAUAAAACCCCACGGGGCCCACACAAUUUGAUAACACUGGUCAAGCCUAAGAGUGACUUCCUCUGAGGGUAAAUUUUAAGAAAAUGUUAUCUUGUACAUAUCAUAUACAGAAGGCAACAAAAAACAGAUAAGUGAUCUCAUUACUCACCUCUAUUAGCAUAACAAACAAAAACAAAAGUACAUGUAUAAGGUUUGAAAAUUCAAACAAUAUAGGAAGUUAAAACAUGAAAAGAAAUGCCUUCCUCAAUGUUCGGCAUACCUCCAUCUUACCAAGACCUUUCUUCUCAGAUGUAAUCACUAUUACUUGUGAUUCCUUUGGAAAUGUAUGUGACCAUAUGUCUAUGUGCAUAGGCAUAUACAUGUGAAUAACAUUUUUUAUACACACAGAAAUGAAUAACAUUUUUAAUACACACUAUAUUCUGUUAUGCACUUUUUUUACUUAAUAAUGUAUCAGCAGUCUAUUAUUAAUAUUUUUUGUUAUUAGGUGACAGUGUUUCACUCUGCCAUACCGGCUGGAGUGCAGUGACGCAUCACGGCUCACUUCAGCCUCUACCUCCCAGGCUCAAGUGAUCCUCCCACCUUAACCUCCCAAGUAACUGGGAAUACAGGCGUGAGCCAUGAUGCGCAGCUAACGUUUUUAUUUUAAUUUUUUUGUAGAGACAGGGUCUCACUAUAUUGCCCAAGCUGGUCUCUAAUUCCUAGGCUCAAGCAAUCCUCCUGCCUCGGCCUCCCAAACUGCUGGUAUGACAGGCAUCAGCCACUGUGCCUGGCUAGCAGUCUAUUAAUACUAUUAUUUUAAGAGAUGGGAUCUCAAUCUCUGGGCUCAAGCAAUCUUCCAGCCUCAAUAUGAGUAGCUGGGACUAUAGACGGCUAGUCUUUUUUAGCAUUAAUUUUUCAGUUGGGUUUCACCAGGUAUCUUAUCCAAACUACCAGGUGUCUUAUCCAAACUAACUUCCAGAUCAGCAAAAGGUUACUGUGGAUAUGACUGUGUCUCUAAUGUCUAUGUCUGAGCAUAAUGAGGCAUUUUCCAAGAGAAGCAUGGUGCUAAACUUCUCAGUCUUUCCCAUAAACAUCAUUUAUUCCACAAUGUAUCUGCAAUGAAACAUUACCUUCAAAAUAAUGUAAAAAUAGCUAUUCACAUAGCUAUCACAUACUUUCAAGCUACAAGAAAACUUAAUCACCAUAUAAGUUCUAUGGAAAAACGUAUUUAGAGUUCCAACCUGGAACCAGAAAUACCUCUCUCUAGAGAUAGCAUGACACAGUGAGAAAAGCAUGGGUUUUGCACACAAUGAACCUGAAUUUUAAUCCUGGCAGUGUCACUACUUGCUUUAUCAUUUUUAGCAAAUUACUUAUCCAAGGUUCAGUUUCUCAUAUGUAAAACAGAGAUAAUGGUAUAGACAGUACAUAUAUAUGUGUGUGUGUAUGUAUAUGUGUGUGUGUAUAUGUAUAGUGUGUGUGUGCAUCUGUGUGUGUGUAUCCUCAGUUGCUCUAUGGAUCAAGUGAGGUAACAAAAUAUUGCCCGGCAUACAGUAGGCACUGUUAAGUUUGUUUCCUUUCUUUUUUUUUUUUUUGAGAGGGAGUUUCACUCUUGUUGCCCAGGCUGGAGUGCAAUGGCGCCAUCUCGGCUCACUGCAAACUCUGCCUCCUGGGUUCAAGCAAUUCUCCUGUCUCAGCCUCCUGAGUAGCUGGGAUUACAGGCAUGCGCCACCACACCUGGCUAAUUUUGUAUUUUUAGUAGAGACGAGGUUUCUCCAUGUUGGUCAGGCUGGUCUCAAACUCCUGACCUCAGGUGAUCUGCCUGCCUCGGCCUCCCAAAGUGCUGGGAUUACAGGCGUGAGCCACCGCACCCGGCCCAUUUCCUUUCCUCUACAGAGAAAUUAGGAAUUCUUAAUUAGCUCCAAACUCCUGAUGGAAUAAAGAGGAAUGGUAUAGGAAGUAGGCAAUGAGGGACUAGAGAAUCAGAGAAACAAGUGAUAGGUUUAGGUAUUCUUUAUGGUCAGAAUGGAUAAGGGACCUAAAGUUUCUUGAUUCUGGCUAGUGUCCCAGUCACUGUUUAUUUUUACUCUUAUGGAUAUUGGAAUUGGCCAUCUCCUUUUGCCUUAUAUUUCUACCAUCUGCUCUUUCCAUUUAGCAUUUUUCCCUCUUUCUCUAGCACAACCCAGCAAGACAGAAUUUAAGUCAUUGGGGGAAAAAAACACGUGAUAUAAAAACAAACACUUGGAGAUUGACUUAUGGAAUGGCUGAAUGAGGAACUCAGUGAACAAACUCUCCCUCUAAAACAAUAAAAAUACAGGCAAACAAAUAAAAUGAACUAUUUCAGAAGUCUGGCAUUUAACAAAAGCCACAGAAUGAAAUUAAAACUUGUCUACUCAAAAGAAACUACUGAACUUCAAUGUCCUUGAGAAAAAUAGAAGCCCAGGUACCCGAGUAGAGUAUGGUUCCAAAAUCAUACAAUUAAUGAAAAUGCUAGGUUCCAAUCCUUUCUCUACUGGCAGGAGGUGGGGGACUUGUAAUCUUUCCUUUAUCCCUCUGAGAUCAAGUUAAUCUCAUUUUUAACAUUACCAGCUAUGAGAAUUAAAUAACCUAAUAUAGCGGUAAAAGCACACCCAUGACUAGAUAGGCAAAAGUUAUUUACCUAAAAAAAUUUGCUAAGACCAACACACAGAAGACACCAUAUUAUUUACAAUGGAAUCGUUUAAUAGCUUUAGGUUUUAUUCCAAAGGUGUUUUACCUUUCCAUGUAGUCAUCACGUAUUAAAAUUUCUAAAAAAGAGUGACAAGCCAAAAUUAUACCUUGACAUAAAUCAAAGUGACAAAAUUGAAAUUCUCCAACAAAACAUUUAACUGGACUGAGACUUAAUCUUGCCAGUUCAUUUGUCAAAGGAUGAUUUAGAUUUCUUCCUUUAUAUUUGUAUAAAGCUGUCUCUUAUGCCUAGCUGCUUUAGAGUUUCCUUUCCUUCCUUUUUCCUUCCCCUUCCCCUUCUCCUUCCCCUUCCUUUCCCUUUCCUUUCCUUCUUUUUUUUUUUUUUUUUUUUUCCGUUUUUCCUUUCCAACUUGUAUUACAGGUUCAGGACGUACAUGUGUGGGUUUGUUACAUGAGUAAAUUGUGUGUCAUGGGGGACUGGUGUAUAGAUUAUUUCAUCACCCAAGUAAAAAACACAGUAUCCAGUAAGUAGAUUUUUUUGAUCCUCACCCUCCUCCCACCCUCCACCCACAAGUAGGCCCCAGUGUCUAUUGUUCCCUUCUUUGUGUCCAUGUGUACUUAAUGUUUAGCUCCUACUUAUAAGUGACAACAUGCAGUAUUUGGUUUUCCGUUCCUGAGUUAACUUGUUUAGGAUAAUGGCCUCCAGCUCCAUCCAUGUGCUGCAAAGAACAUGAUUUUGUUCUUUUUUAUGGCUGCGUAGUAUUCCAUGGUGUAUAUAUAUAUACCACAUUUUCAUUAUUUGGUCUACUGCUGAUGGGCAAUGUAGGUUGAUCAAGUGUGUUUUCUAUUGUGAAUAGUGCUGUGAUAAACAUACCUAGUAUGUUUGGGUAUAUACUUGGUAUAUACCUAGUAAUGGGAUUGCUGGAUGCAAUGGUAGAUCUGUUUUAAAUUCUUUGGGAACAAUCUCCAAACUGUUUUCCAUAGUGGCUGAACUAUUUUACAUUCCCACCAGCAGUGUAUAAGUAUUCCCUUUUCUCUGCAACCUCACCAGCAACUGUUAUUUUUUGACUUUUUAAUGAUAGCCAUUCUGCCUGGUAUGAGACAGUAUCUCAUUGUGGUUUUGAUGUGCAUCUCUCAAAAGAUUACUGAUGUUGAGCAUUUUUUCUCAUAUACUCGAUGGCCACAUGUAUGUAUUCUUUUGAGAAGUGUCUUUUCAUGUUCUUUGCUCAUUGUUUAAUGGGGUUGGUCGGUUGUUUUUUGCUUGUUAAUUUAAGUUACCUAUGGAUUUUGGAUAUUAGACCUUUCUCAGAUAUGUAGUUGGAAAAUAUUUUCUCCAAUUCUGUAGAUUGUCUGUUUACUCUGGCAAGAGUUUUUGUUUUUUGUUUUUUGUUUCUUUCUUUUUUGCUGUGCAGAAGCUCUUAGUUUGAUUAGGUCUCAUUUAUCAAUUUUCUUUUUUUUUUUUUUCACAAUUGCUACUGGAGUUUUUGUCAUGAAAUCUUCAUCAGGGCCAAUAUCACAUAAUGGUAUUUCCUAGGCUUUCUUCUAGGGUUAUAAUUUUAUAGUUUUAGGUUUUACAUUUAAGUCUUUAAUGCAUCUUGAGUUAAUUUUUGUAUGUGGUGAAAGGAAGGGGUCCAGUUUCAAUCUUCUUUACAUGGCUAUCCAGUUAACCUGGCACCACUUGUUGAAUAAUGAAUCCUUUCCCCAUUGCUUGUUUUUGUCAACUUUCUCAAAGAUCAGAUGGUCGUAGUUGUGUGGCUUUAUUUCUGAGUUCUCUUAACUGUUCCAUUGGUCUGUGCGUCUACCAGUACCAUGCUGUUUUGAUUACUGUACCCUUCUAGUAUAGUCUAAAGUCAGAUAGUGUGAUGCCUCAAGCUUUGUUCUCUUUGCUUAGGAUUGCAUUGGCUAUCCAGGCUAUUUGUUGUUGUUGUUGUUUUUCCAUAUGAAUUUUGGAAUAGUUUUUUUUUUCUAAUUUUGUGAAAAAUUCAUUGGUAAUUUUGAUAGAAAUAGCAUUGAAUCUGCAAAUUGCUUUAGGCAAUAAGGCCAUUUUAAUAUUGAUUUUUCCGAUCCAUGAGCAUAUAAUGUUUUUCUACUUGUUUGUGUCAUCUCUGAUUUCUUUCAACAGUGUUUUGUAAUUCUCAUUAUAGAGAUCUUUCUCCUCCCCAGUUAGCUGUAUUCAUAGGCUCUCUCUCCCUCUCUCCCUCUCUCUCUCUCUCUGUCUCUGUGUGUGUGUGUGUGUGUGUGUGUGUGUGUGUGUGUGUGUGUGUUAUUGUGAAUAGGACUGUGUUCUUAAUUUGGCUUUCAGCUUGAAUGUUAUAUAGACUUGUAGUUGUAUAGAAAUGUUAUGGAUUUUUGUACAGAAAUUUUGUAUCCUGAAACCUUACUGAAGCUUUUUAUUGGAUCUAGGAGCUUUGGAGCAGCAACUAUGAGGUUUUCUCAAUACAAGAUCAUGUCAUUUAGGAAAAGUGAUUGACUUCUCUUCCUAUUUGGAUUGUUUCUAUUUCUUUCUCUUGUGUGAAUGCUCUGGCUAGGACUUCCAGUACUAUGUUGAAUAGGAGUGGUGACAGUGGGCAUCCUUGUUUUGUUCUGGUCCUCAAGGGGAAUACUUCCAGCUUUUGCCCAUUCAGUAUGGUGUUAACUGCAGAACUGUCAUAGACGGCUCUUAUUAUUUUGAGGUAUGUUCCUUUAAUACCUAGUUUGUUAAGGGUUUUUAACAUGAAGGGAUGUUAAAUUUUAUUGAUAGCUUUUUCUGCAUUUACUCAGAUAAACAUGUAGUUUUUUGUUUUUUUUUUUUUUGAGACAGCGUCUCACACUGUCACCCAGGCUGGAGUGCAGUGGCACAAUCUUGGGUGACUGCAACCUCCACCUUCUGGGUUCAAGUGAUUCUCUUGCCUCAGCCUCCCAAGUAGCUGGGACUACAGGCGCCCACCACCACACCUGGCUAAUUUUUGCAUUUUUAGUAGAGACGGUGAAAUUUCAAUUUCUCCAUUUUGGCCAGGCUUGUCUCAAACUCCUGACCUCAGGUGAUCCACCCACCUCAGCCUCCCAAAGUGCUAGGAUUACAGGUAUGAGCCACUGUGCCCAGCCAUAAACAUGUAGUUUUUGUCUUUAGUUCUGUUUAUGUGAUGGAUCACAUUUACUGAUUUACAUAUUUUGAACCAACCUUACAUCCCAGGAAUGAAACCUCCUUGAUCAUGGUGGGUUAGCAUUUUGAUGUGCUGCUGGGUUUAGUUUUCUAGUAUUUUGUUAAAGAUUUUUGCAUCUACAUUCAUCAGAGGAUACUGACCUGAAGUUUUCCUUUUUUGUUGUGUCUUUGCCAAGUUUUGGUAUCAGAAGGAUGUUGGUCUCACAGAAUGCGUUAGAGAGGAGUCCCUCAUCUUAUUUUUUUUGGAAAGUUUCAGUAGGAUUGGUUAUCAGCUCUUCUUUAUAUGUCUGGUAGAAUUCAGCCAUGAAUCUGUCUAGUCCAAGGCUUUUUCUGUUUGGUAGGCUUUUUAUUACUGAUUCAAUUUCAGACCUUAUUAUUGGUCUGUUCAGGGUUUCAAUUUCUUCCUGGUUCAGUCUUGGGAGGUUGUGUUUCCAGUAAUUUACUCAUAUCUUGUAGGUUUUCUGUGCAUAGAGGGAUUUGUAAUAGUCUCUGAAUGUUUUUCCUAUUUCUAUGGGGUUGGUGGUAAUGUCUCCUUUGUCAUUUCUGGUAUUUAUUUGAAUCUUCUCUUUUACUAGCCUAACGAGCAGUCUGUCAAUCUUAUUUAUUCUUUCAAAAAACCAACUUUUGGGUUCAUUAAUUUUUUUGUACUGUUUUUCAAGCCUCGAUUUCAUAGACUUCAGCUCUGAUUUUGGCUGAAGAUUUGUCAUCUUCUGCUAGCUUUCGGUUGGUUUGUUCUUGAUUCCCUAGUUCCUCUAGGUGUGGUAUAACGUUGUUAAUUUGAGACCUUUCUAACUUUUUAAUGUGGGCACUUGGUGUUACAAGCUGUCCUCUUAAUACUGCUUUAGCUGUGUCCCAGAGAUUCUGGUAUGUUGUAUUUUUGUUUUCAUUUGUUUCAAAGAAUUUCUUGAUUUCUGCCUUAUUUGUUUACCCAAAAGUCAUUCAGGAGCAGGUUAAUUUCCAACAUGGUUUUGAGAGAUGGUCUUAGUAUUGAUUUCUGUUUUUAUUGUGCUGUGGUCUGAAGGUAUAGUUAGUAUGAUUUCAGUUAUAUUGAAUUUUUUGAGAAUUGUGUUAUGACUGAGCAUGUGGUUGAUUUUGGAGUAUGUACCAUGUGCAGAUGAAAAUAAUGUACAUUCUGUUGUUGGUCACAGUGUUCUGUAGAUGUCUGUUAGGUCCAUUUAGUCAAGUGACAAGUUUAGGUUCUGAAUAUCUUUAUUAGUUUUCUGCCUGGAUGAUCUGUCUAAUAUUGUCAGUGGGGUGUUGAAGGCUCCAAUUAUUAUUGCAUAGUUAUCUCUUUGUAGGUCCCUAAGAACUUGUUUUAUGAAUCUGGGUGCUCCAGUGUUGGGUGCAUAUUAUUUAGGAUAGCUAAGCCUUCUUAUUGAAUUGAACCCCUUACCAUUAUGUAAUGCCCUUCUUUGUGUUUUCUGAUCUUUGUUGGCUUAAAGUCUGUUUUGUCUAGCAUUAGAAUAGCAACCCCUCCUCUUUUUUGUUUUCUGUUUGCUUGGUAGAUUUUUCUCUAUCCCUUUACUUUGGGCCUAUGGGUGUCAAUGCAUGUGAGAUGGGUCUCUUGAAGACAGCAUACAGUUGGGACUUCUUUAUCCAACCUGCUCUUCUGUGCCUUUUAAGUGGGGCACACAAUGGCAAGUUGGAUAAUUUACAUUCAAGGUUAAUAUUGUCAUAUGUGGAUUUGGUUCUAUCAUUGUGUUGUUAAGCUAAUUGUUAUAUAGAUUUGAUUGUGUAGAUGCUUUAUAGUGUCCAUGGUUGAUAUGGUUUGUCUCUGUAUCUCCACCCAAAUCUUAUGUCGAAUCGUAAUUCCCAAUGUUGGAGGAGGGACCUGGUGAGAUGUGACUGGAUCAUGGGGCAGGUUUCCCCCUUGCUGUUCUUAUGAUACUGAGUGAGUUCUCAUGAGAUCUGGUUGUUUGAAUUUGUGUAUUCCUUCUGCUCCCACCAUGUAAGAUGUGCUGGCUUUCCCUUUGCCUUCUGCCAUGAUUUUAAGUUUCCCGAGGCCUCCCUAGCCAUGUCUCCUAUACAGCCUGCAGAACUGUGAGUCAAUUUAACCUCCUUUUAAAAUAAAUUACCCAGUCUUGAGUAGUUCUUUAUAGCAAUGUGAGAACAGACUAAUACAAUGGUCUAUGUAUUUAACUGUGUUUUUGUGGUGGCCAAUAAUUAUCUUUGGUUUCUAUGUUUAGCACUCCCUUAAGGACCUCCUGUAAGGCAGGUCUGGUGAUAACAAAUUCCCUUAGCAUUUGCUUUUCUGAAAAGAAAUUUAUUUCUUCUUAUCUUACGAAGUUUAGUUUGGCUGGAUACAAAAAUUCUUGGUUGGAAUUUCUUUUCUUUAUGAAUGCUGAAUAUAGGCUCCCAAUCUCUUCUGGCUUGUAGGGUUUCUGUUGAAAGGUCUGUGGUUAGCCUGGUGGAGUUCCUGUAAAGGUGACAUGCCCUUUCUCUCUGCCUUUACUAUUUUUUCUUUCACUUUGAUCUGGGAGAAUCUGAUGACCAUAUGACUUAGGGAUGGUCAUCUUAUAUGGAAUCUCACAGGGGUUCUUUGAAUUUCCUGCAUUUGAAUGUUGACCUCUCUAGCAAGGAUGGGGAAAUUUUCAUGGACAAUAUCCUUGAAUAUGUUUUCCAAGUUGCUUGCUCUCUCUCCCUCUGUUUCAGGGAUGCCAAUGAGUAGUAGGUUUGGUUUCUUUAUAUAAUCUCAUAUGUCUUAGGGGAUUUGUUAGUUCAUUCUUUUUUUUUCUGUAUUUUUGUCUGACUGAGCUGUUUAGAAGAAUUGGUCUCCAAGCUCUGAGAUUCUUUCCUCAGCUUGGUCUAUUCUGCUGUUAAUACUUCCCAUUGUAUUAUGAAAUCCUUCUAGUGAGUUUUUCAGCUCUAUCAGAUAAUUUUGGUUCUUUCAUAAAAUGACUAUUUCAUUUUUCAGCUCUUGUCUCAUUUUACUGGAUUCCUUGGAUUACAUUUCAACUUUCUCCUGAAUCUUGAUGAUCUCUAUGGCUAUCCAGAUUCUGAAUUCUAUGUCUGUCAUUUUAGCCAUUUUGGCCUGGUUAAGUAUCAUUGCUGGGGAGCCAGUGUGAUUGUUUUGAGGUAAGAAGACACUGGGUUUUUGAGUUGCCAUUGUUCUUGCACUGGCUUUUUCUCAUCUGUGUGGGCUGAUGUUCCUUUAAUCUUUGAAGCUGCUGUCCUUUGGAUGCAGUUUUUUACUUUUACAUUAUUUGAUGCCAUUGAAGGUUUGACUAUGGUAUAAGUUGUGUUCAGAUGACUGGCUUUGUUUUUGGAUUAUUUCAGGGGGCCAAGGCUCUCUCAGCACUCGUGGGCUGCAUGCUCUAACCCACAGGGCCUGGUACCAGACCCACGGCUUUGUUAUCUGGGACCUCAAAUUUAAGCACCUGCUGUGCUCGAGGGCCUGAGAUGUUCCCAGUCUGCUGGCAAGAUCACUCUGAUGUGGGGUGCUGGCAAAAGCAUUUCAUCGGGGUGGCAGCAGUGAGGUUCAUGCCCAUACUGAUGGGGCAGUGGGGACUGUGCAUGUGCACUUGCACUGGUGGCGGCAAUGAGGUGGGGUGCACAUACACCAGCAGGGAUGGGGCAGCAGUGCCUACAUGCUGGCAGGGGCAGGGUGGCAGGGUCUGUGUGCAUAUGCUUACACCAGCAAUGGCGGGGUGGCAGGGUGCACACAUGUGUGCACUGGAGGGGGCAGGGUAGGGUCAGGGUGGUAGUCAUGAGGUCUGUGCACAAGCCCAUCAAUGACAACAGGGUGGUGAGGUCUGUGUGCACAUGCAUGCCAUCAAAGUGGUGUGGGGAGGCGGUGGGUGGGUGUCCAUCAGCAGGGGCCUGUCUGCUGAAGCUCUCCUAUAGUUAUAGAGUAUCCUUUCUUUAAAGCACCAAUCUUACAAUUAUAAGACCUUUCUUCCUCUCAUUUCAAAAUAGCAUUUUAAAAACAAUCUUAACCCAAGCCAUCCAAUCCAUACUGUACUGUAAACUUAUGGGCUCACAAACAUAAAUGCAGUGUUGCAGUACAAUAGAUUGUCUUGGAUAUUAUUUUUAAAUCAUCAAAAAUAGCCAAAAAUUACUUUUCUUAAUUUAAAUUAAAUGGCACGGGGAGAAAACAGCAAAUAUUAAUACAUGUUUUACUAUGAAUAAAAUCCUACCUUAGGAGAA